rnacentral:rRNA from 1 species
GACGAACGCUGGCGGCGUGCUUAACACAUGCAAGUCGAACGGAAAGGCCUGUCCUUCCUUGUGUUGGACGGGUACUCGAGUGGCGAACGGGUGAGUAACACGUGAGUGAUCUGCCCCCAACUUGGGUAUAAGCCUGGGAAACUGGGUCUAAUUCCCGAUAGGACUGCAGGGUGGUGCCUGUGGUGGAAAACGAUUUUCUAGUGGUUGGGGAUGAGCUCGCGGCCUAUCAGCUUGUUGGUGGGGUAAUGGCCUACCAAGGCGGCGACGGGUAGCCGGCCUGAGAGGGUGGACGGCCACAUUGGGACUGGGAUACGGCCCAGACUCCUACGGGAGGCAGCAGUGGGGAAUAAUGCACAAUGGGCGGAAGCCUGAUGCAGCGACGCCGCGUGGGGGAUGACGGCCUUCGGGUUGUAAACUCCUUUCGACCGCGAGGAAGCCGCCUGGUUGGAAGGGUGGUGACGGUAGUGGUAGAAGAAGCACCGGCUAACUACGUG